rnacentral:rRNA from 1 species
GAUUAACGCUAGCGGCAGGCAUAAUACAUGCAAGUUGAACGAGAUUAGUUUUAGCAAUAGAACUAGUUUAGUGGCGCACGGGUGCGUAACGCGUAUGCAACCUACCUUAAACAGGGGAAUAGCCUCUCGAAAGAGAGAUUAAUACCGCAUAAUAUAUAUUUAAUGCAUAUUAGAUAUAUUAAACCUACGGGGUUAAGUAUGGCAUGCGUGACAUUAGCUAGUUGGUGAGGUAACGGCUCACCAAGGCAACGAUGUCUAGGGGUCGUGAGAGGAUGUCCCCCCACACUGGUACUAGAGACACGGACCAGACUCCUACGGGAGGCAGCAGUAGGGAAUAUUGGUCAAUGGGGGCAACCCUGACAGCAUG